GACGAACGCUGGCGGCGUGCCUAAUACAUGCAAGUCGAGCGAGACUCUUCGGAGUCUAGCGGCGGACGGGUGAGUAACACGUGGGCAACCUGCCUGUAAGACUGGGAUAACACCGGGAAACCGGUGCUAAUACCGGAUAAUCCUUUUCCUCUCAUGAGGAAAAGCUGAAAGUCGGUUUCGGCUGACACUUACAGAUGGGCCCGCGGCGCAUUAGCUAGUUGGUGAGGUAACGGCUCACCAAGGCGACGAUGCGUAGCCGACCUGGGAGGGUGGUCGGCCACACGGGGACUUGGACACGGCCAAGCCUCCUGCGGGAGGCAGCAGUAGGGAAUCUUCCACAAUGGUCGAAAGUCUGAUGGAGCAACGCCGCGUGAGCGAUGAAGGCCUUCGGGUCGUAAAGCUCUGUUGUUAGGGAAGAACAAGUACCGGAGUAACUGCCGGUACCUUGACGGUACCUAACCAGAAAGCCACGGCUAACUACGUGCCAGCAGCCGCUGUAAUAC
rnacentral:rRNA from 1 species